CGCACCUUGCGCCUCUUGGUAUUCCGAGAGGCAUGCCUGUUUGAGUGUCAUGAAACAUCAAUCCCCGAGGGUUUUUUCACUCGGUGGACUUGGACCUGGGCGUCUGCCUCCCAAGGCUCGCCUCAAAUGACUCUGUGGGAACUUCUUGACCUACGCCUGACGUGAUAAGUUUCGUCCUGGCCGGUCCUGAGGCCUGCACAUAACCCCCAAUACCUUUGACAUUGACCUCAAAUCAGGUAGGGCUACCCGCUGAACUUAA
rnacentral:misc_RNA from 1 species